rnacentral:lncRNA from 1 species
GUUUGACAUCACUGUUGACCUCAAUGGCAAAAACGCUAAUUACAGACUUGAAUGCUAUCUGUGACUUUUCUCACCAAACUUCCGCUUAUCACUUUGAAUCUGUAACAUGUGAAAUGAAUUGAGUCAACAGGAAGCGGGGUGUAGAUCAUGUUUUUUUUCCAAACUGCCGUCUGAGGGGACUGAGCAAUGGAGGAUGGAGGCAGGGCCAUGUCAUACCACAUCAUCAUACCACAUCCUGCCUCACCCUCCAACCUGCACCUUAUGGCUCUGUUGGCGUGGUAAUCAAAACGGACCGUUUCCUCUUGUCAACUUCGAAUGGGUGGCUUCUGGUUCGAGGUAUCCCAUGGGGCCAUAGGGCAGGGUGCGAUAAUGAGUGUUGCUGCAGAAGAGGAAAUUACGAGUAAAGGGGAAGAGGCAGUGAGAUGAGAAAGCUGGACAAUUAGACAUGAUGAGAUUGACUCUGAUUUCCCUCGCCAUGUGCCUUCCUCACCUCCUCGCCACUCUUGUCUUCCAUUCUACCACUGCGGCUUCACCAAGCGCCACAGAAACAACAACAACAGCUCUAGACCUUAGUAUCAGCACUACAACAUCAGACCCCCUGAUAAUUCCACUCUCCACAACUGAAAACCACCCUGGUAGGACUAGUGGCAUGUUCAACACACAAGUGAAGAAAAGCGCUAGCUUAGCAGCUGUCAACAACUCAGGCAGAACGACUCAAGGAAGAGGCAUUCUCAGAACAGGAACUGCCACUUACGCCACCACAGCUGUACAGAAGAGCAACAGGCACAUAACUGCAGGAGACUUGAGGAGGGAAACAGAGAGCCACAAUCACCAUGAGACUCUUCCCUUCAGCAGACACACAGCCUCACCCACAACUGACCACCCCAGCACCACCUCUCUCCCCGGGGAGGAAGGGACUGAGUAUCAUGACAGCAGCACCACUGAAACAGCCAGAGAACUGAGCACACCAAAUUCCAUAGAGACAUGGGCUGCUGACACCAUUAAUGACUCCAGGCUAGCGAAGCCACACUUAGACAGGUCACAAGCAGCAGACCAGCACCCUGCUACACAAGGACUAGAGAUUGCAUCAGGAGAUUACUACACAACACAGAGAGACUUCUUCACAAUCACCCCAACUAGUAGAGUGACAGGUUUGAACAGAGGUAAACAAAGUAAGGCCAACAGCGUCACAACAACAACAACAACGGUUUCACCUACGUACACAGUCACACGUCCUGGUUUGUAUGAGCACAUGACUGUGACUUACUGGGCUACCGGCUACAAAACACAACCUGACGACACAAGCCAGUCUAUGGACAACCAGGACCACGCCACCAUUUCAAUCCCCCAUGCUGACAAUAGGACAACUCCAUAUAUCAAUGCAAACACGUUUACAGAUAAUGACACAGACAACGACACAAACACACUUUCACACAGUAAUACCACAACCUCUAAUAAUCGUAACACAACAGUACUUUUGAAGGAGAAAACUCAUUCAUUCAGACACAACCACACAAUCUCAGGUUAUGACAACAGGCUGAACAACACAACUGAAAACACUGUGCAUGAUCGUCCUGAGUGCGGAGAGGCAGAUGAAAGGUCCCUGUCGUUGCUUCCUGGCUCUUCUAGACUGGUCUGUUUCAUUGUUCUGUGGGCUCUGGGAUUGACUGCUUCGGUCUUCCUCGGUCUCACUGUCUUCCUGUGGGUGCGUUUGUCAGUCCAGAGAGAGAGGGGAAGGAGAGUGAGGAGAGGAGGAGAGAAUGUGUCAGGGGUGGAUCUGGAGAACCUGUGGGUCGACCAGAUGUCGUCGGUGGAGGAAAGGGUUGAAUUCUGGUACACCAACGGCUCCACCAUGGGACCCGACCAUAAACGGAGGGAGAGAGAGAGAGAGAGGGUGAAGGAGAGGGGGAGGAGGGAGCAGGGGAGGCAGAAAGGGAUAGAGUGUGACAACCUGUGGACUCAACCCAAAGUGACACUGGAGGACAUCACUGAUUUCUGGUAUGCAAAUGGAAGAGCGAUACCAGAAGAAACUACAGACCAAACGCUGUUGGAGACCUGCGUAUGAUUCUGUUUUUUGUACUACAGUACUACAAUUUACCUGGAAUUACUUUGGAGAGAAAUGUUCAUCAUUAUUUUACCAAUUCCAUGGCAGAUUUGAACACUGUAAUCCUGACCAAGUUUAAACAUUUCCAAAAUGAAUUGAUAAUCUGUAUGUUUAUUGGCUGUAACAAAAGUAUAAGUAUGUGAUCUACAUAAGUCUACGGAAAGAUAGAUUAAGGCUGGGUCUGAUCAGAGAGAAAGAAGAGGACAGAGAGAGAGGAAUAGAGAGAGAGAUCAGAACAAUGUCUAACUGGAAAUAACACUUGAUAAGAGAGUUCCCAUUUUAAGACAAUUCAGACCUUGUUAGAGACACAUCAUCAUCGUGUGUCAGACAGCAACGAGGAGAUAGGUGCCAUUUCUACAAACACACUGACACAAAUACGGUUGACUCCUAAUACUGUACAUGCACUGUUAUUAGGAGCUAGUCAAAUAAAAAGGACUGCACUGGGCGUAAACAACUUAGUUUCAUUUACCUGACUGACCAUGUUUACACGCGCACAGCAUUCCAGAUAAUAGCUCAUAACCUAGUUAAGGUCUUAUUCGAGAUAAGCUGUUAAAAUACAUCUUUGAUAUCCCGCUUACGAGUAUCCCUGUAUAAACAGAAUAUUCCUAAAUUUACCCAUGAUACUAUGCAAAACUGAGCUUGUACAAACAAUGUAAAACAACAGUAAACGGAAUAAUAUAUUUGUAUGACACAGUAUCCCGUCUACAAUCAGCAUAUCCCAGGCAUUUUAACUGGGUUUCUCAUAACCGGGACACAAGCUUAUUCGGGUUAUUGUAAACGGGAUAUGAUGCUAAUAUGCGGCAACUAAAAAACGGAAUACUAGAAUAUCCCAAAUAGUAACGGAAUAUCGGUGUGCCUGUGAACAUGGUGACCUAUCAGGAAUUGACUAUAGGUCUACCUCACAAUUGAUAGUGGAUCGGCCAUUUGAUCAAUAAUGUAUAACUGUAAAUACAGUAGAAAAUAUACCCUUGUAGAAUUUAACACCUAACCAGCUGAAGUUUGACAUAUAAUGUCCCAAGACAUGAGAUUUUUUUUUUUUAUUACAUUAUAAAACAGAAUUUUCAUCAUACUCUCUCUACUUUGAAUUCUCAUGUUUUGACAACCUAUGCCCUUUGACUGCCUGCUCCCCACACACACGCACACACACCGUCAAACAAACACACAUCCAAGUAGGCCUGUGUGUACGUGUGCAAACACACUCUGGCUCAAACAUUUCAACACACACACACAGCUUCUUCUCUUUGUAGGACCAACUUCUCCUUUUUCAUCAAGAAAAUAAGCACAUGACGCAAUAAACAAAAUGAAGCUACUCUUAAGUUAUUUGGCACCUCUCUAACCCCACCACUUUCGCAGUUAACAAAACUGUUUUACGAAGAAUUUGAUACUCUGAGGGGAAGAGAUAGAGAGAACCAACUAGAGAGAGAAAGGGAGGGGAGAGAAAGAAGGGAGUGAACAGGAGGGAGGGAGGGAGGGAGCGAGCGAGCGAGAAAGGUGUUUUGGACAUGUACUAGUGCACGAGAUGUCAUUCACACAGUACAGGAGUUAAAGCAUGUGCCUUUAAGGUGGAUUCAUAAUUUCAAUCCAAUCGUUUUCUCCAAGCAACAUGUGGGUGUGUACUAAGCAAGCAUUUUACAUCUACAGCGGUUCAGACAGUGGAUGCUGUGAGGAGGUCUCGUGCUUUUUUUGGUUCACCGUUGCUGCAAUCUCUCACGCUACACUUGAAAUAGACAGCUGAUACAGAAAAGUAAAGUGAAGUGCAGGGGAGUAGGAGGAAAGCUGAAGUGCGCGAGAGGAAGAGAAGGGUUGUGUCUUUCCGGUCUAUUUGCACCUAAAUACACCCUAGUGAACAACAAGCCCAGCAACCAGGAGAGACAGCAAGAGAACACAAGUUUGACUAUGUAAGUGCACUUCAUAUGCCUAACACUCAGUCAAACCUUUGUUAAUAAUCUAAGGCAUGGCCUGAAAGAAAGGGAAAUUCCGAGAGCAGUGAAGAUCAAAGCCUGACACACAAUCGUUGUCAAACCAAGAACCCCGGUACCUGAUGACGGAUACCGCUUUUCUUUUCUAGAAUGUACAUUUUUCUGCUCUAGACUUGUAAAACAAACCUCCAAUACCUUUCAAGCCACAACGCUGUCGCUGAUGCACCUCAGAAAGAGGAAGACAAACGUAAUCUGAGAGAUCAGCAAAACCCUUCAGGGACGGUUGACCUCUGUGACCCCUCUCACUUCUUGCCCAGUAUGGAGCGGAUACAGCUGAUGCUUGGGGCUCUGCUCCUCUCCCUCUCUCUGCCCAGUCUCCCUGCCCAAGAUAAUGUCACCGUCACUGUACCUGAGAAUGUCACCAUGGCAGCACCUAUUAAUGAGGAAGUCACGAUGGCAGCCUCUACACCGGAGGCCACCAUAGAGACAACGCCUGCUCCUGUGGUCAUCACUAGGGCACAGCCUGCCCCUGAAAUCAUCACCCCGGUAACUGCUAUUCCGAAAGUAACUUCUGUUUUAGUACGUACCACUGAUGCCAUCACUAUGGUAAUAACAAACCCUGAGAUCACCAUCGUUCAGGAGUCCACCUCUGAUGCACCAACUACUACUUCAGAGGUUGAAACGAUGACACCUUCCCCUGUGACCACUGAAGGGCCUAUAGAUACGACCAAUCCACCUGGUCCUAAACCCACCCUCUCCCAAGACGUCCUUAUGACCGCCUCUUAUCUCCCAACCCCUUCCCAGGACCACCUGACAUUUGUUAUCCCAGUCUGGCCCCUCCAAACCACCCCUCAUCUGACGGAGGACUCCACUUACACACCUGAACCUACACCUGCCUCAGAGAUUACUGCCUACCACACAGAGGGACUUACCACUGCACCCACCUCCCCAUUGGUCAAUCCCCCUCCCGGCCAUGCCACGACCCCCGCUACCACCCACACCUCCACAGAUCCAGACUCUACGGUGGCUGGGGUCAGGGUGAAGACAGGUCAGCCCAGCUUGUUAUGGGUCAUCAUCGUUGCUCUCCUGAUCGUGGUUAUAUUCGCGGGCGGGUUCUACUGUGUUUGUCUGGUCAUCAGACGAAAGAGGCAGAGCCACACCGAGUACUUUGUGUCCAGCUUCCGGAACGGGAAGAGUUCCAAGCGGAAGAAAGGGGCGGAGGAAGACGCCUGGGCAGGGCCAGUGAAGCUAGGGCGUGGGGAUGGGGAGGAGGAUGAGGGUGGGGAGGAGGGAGGGAGCCCAGAGGACAACAAGAGAGAGGGGGCUGGAACGGAUGUGGUGCUGAGCACAUUCAUAGCCAACGAGACUGAGGGAGAGAGGGGUGGGCCUGAUGGGGGAGUAGGAGUGGCUGGGAGCAAGGAGGCAGAGAAAUGGGAGGAGAAGGAGCCUCUGCUGUACAUUGAUGAGGGAGUGGAGGAGGGGCAAGAGAGGAUGGCUCUUCCUUCACUUUCAAAAUCGAACUGAGAAAAGACAGGAGGGGAAAAAAGAGAGGGGGAAAGUGAAAAAGAAAUGGAGAGGGGAGAAGGGAAUGGAAAGAAAGAAAAUUAGAGUGAGAGGUAAGAAGAAUGGAGGAGCGGCAUUCUGUCUAACCACUGCAGUUUAAAAAUAGAAGAGUUUUCCAUAAAAAGAUUUUCUAGGUGAUAAUGUAAAAGUUAAAAAUAUUUUUGUACUACUGAAAAGGCCUUUGACAUUGUAUGUAUCUGUGAUUGUGUGCUCUGUCAACAUAACUCAGGGAAGAUAGGAGUGGUUGUGUGCAUGGUCAUAAGUUUUACCCUUGGUAUUUUGUAUGCUGUUUUGUCUUAAUGUUUUUUUGUUAAAUAAAGUUUUAGAUGUGCAGAGUGCAUGUUCUAGAAUGAAGUUGUUGAACGUGGCAGAAUAUUAAUACUUUUUGCUUAACAAUUUGCGGUCUUCAAAUGCACUUUAUUUAUGGAACUGCUUAAAUCAAUAGCAAUCAAUUCAUAGGUGCAAAUCUGAACUUCCACUGAGACAAAUAGUCACUUAGUCUCCCAUUGACAUCAUGACUAAGUGAAUAUUCAACUUCAGUGGAAGUUGGGAUUUGUCCCAUAGAAAAGGCUUUGUUUACUUGAUUUGAUAUGGGGUUCCCGAGUGGCGCAGCGGUCUAAGGCACUGCAUCUCAGUGCUAGAGGCGUCACUACAAACACCCUGAUUUGAAUCCAGGCUGUAUCACAACCGGCUAUGAUUGGGAGUCCCAUAGGGUGGUGCACAAUUGGCCCAGCAUUGUCCGAGUUUGGCCGGUGUAGGCUGUGAUUGUAAAUAAGAAUUUGUUCUUAAUUGACUUGCCUGGUUAAAUAAAAAAAACAUACGUGUUGCUGAUUAUGGCCACUAGGUUGUGCCCUUUCCCCAUCUUUAUGAUCAGAGCACAGUUCAAUGUGACCUGCAGUAAAGAGCGGUGUUGUGAUGACGCACAGGUCUUCUAUUCUACUGGUCUGUUUUUUCUGAAGUUGCAUCUGUUGCAAACGUCUAGCAGAGAAAACAGCAGAGAUCAAAAACAGUUGUUCAGGCAAACAACUCAGUCAUAGAACCCCUCUGAUGUGAUGUGAUCACAAAUUAAACUUAAAGCCACAACAACCGCUUUUAGUAAGAUUGAUCCUUGGUAAAUAGAAAAUGUUAUCCUGGCCACUACACCACCUCAACCUUCGUCAACUAUUAUUUCAGGAAGGGGAGUAAGUAUGUGUGUGGGUUGGGGGAGGGGGGUGCGUACAACAGAAUCAGAGGAAAUAGAAGAGAAACAAAUCUGCAACUCUGUCAAAUAAAUGCCUUAAUGUCUCUCUGCUCUGCUCUGCUGAAUAGGAUAAUCUGACAGAGAAUAAUGUUUGUUUAGAGAGAGAGAAGGAGAGAGGUAGAGAGUGUGAAAGGGAGGAGGGAGAGAGAUGUGGUGAGUAAGGGGAUGGAGGUGUGGAGGAAGAAGGGGCGCUGGAGGAGCGACGGCAAAAAUACUGAGGAGAGGAGAGAGCAAGAGAGAAAAGAGAGCGGCCAACAACACAGUCACAUCUGGAAGUUAUUGAGAAGUAGAGAGAGCGAGGGAGAGAGAAAGAGAGAGAACUAUUGUGAAUUGAAAAGAGGGAGAAAGGAUAAACAAACUCUAGAUGUAGGGAUAGAUAGAUUUAUUAAAUGUAUCAACUGAGUUAAAGAUUUACGGGAGGACAGAGUUUAUCUAAAAGUUGACAAGAAUUCUACAGUGGACAGAGAGAAAGGAACAGAGGAAACAAAGAGAGAGCGCAAGAAACUGUAAUUCUAUCCUAAGAACAAUCCAUACCAAGAGGGGAGGACGACAAAGAGGGAAAAUUAAUGUAGCUUUCUAAUCUGGAGGACCGUCUAAAACAGAACAAAGUGGACUGAAUCAAAACUUAUGUUAUUGAGUUGAAAUUAAAUCAACUCAACAAAGGAGAAGAGUCCAGAGACCAAAAGAGGAGUCCCUUAGUCUGGAAUUCUUCUACGCAUUUGUCUUCCUAUCAGGGCCUGUGGAGUCAACCAUCAGACAGGAUGUCAGCCUCUCGGAGGUGCCUGUGCUGCGUGAAAUACCUCAUGUUCGUCUUCAACCUCAUCUUCUGGGUCAGUACCUUCACAUCUCUGUCCUUUGGCAUGCCUCAGCUUUUCGAAGGCACAAUCUGUAUGAUUUUCUGCUGUCCAAUGGUAAUUUAAAUGAAUUACAUACAGUACAGUAUACCCAUUGUUUGAAUCUUGAAGAAUAUAACUUACCAAACAAAGUGGGAGGGACAGGCUGUUGAAAUCACAGAUUGGGCUUUUUAGCUCCAAUUCCAGUUCUGAUCUGUUUCUGGUCUUUGUCUAGUCCUGUUUGUGUGGUUCUAUUAUGGUGUUCUUCUAGCUCUCUUGUCCUGUUUUGGCUCAGUUCUGGUCUGUUCCAUUCUACAUACUUACAUACCAUAAGAGAUUGUAAAUUCUGGUCUUAAACUAUUCUGAUUCCAAUCUGGCUUUGUUCUAGUUUUGUACUGGUUUUGUUGUGGUCCUGUUUUUAUUAUGUUCACGUUUGGUCUAUUUAUUUGUCUCCCAAGUUAAUAUAUUUGUGAUCCCAGAUAAACAUGAAAAUGACCUUAGGCUGAGGAACAAGUUCACCAUGCACCACACAUAAUGUACAGUAUUGGCUAACAACACAAGGAUGUGAACACAAACUCUGAAUUAGAUAUAAUAAAGUCAUAAAGGGCCAUGGAGUAAAAAAAAAAAAAAGUGGGAAAACAUGAUAAAGCCUCUGGUUGGUGCCACCAAGACAUAAAACUACACUCCAAUAACUCUGGACAUACAGUACUAGUCAAAAGUUUGGACACAUCUUACUUAUUUUUACUAUUUUCUACGUUGUAUAAUAAUUAUAAAGACAUCAAAACUAUGAAAUAAUACAUAUAGAAUCAUGCAGUAACCAAAAAUAUAUUUUAUAUUAGACAUUCUUCAAAAUAGCCACCCUUUGCCUUGUUGACAGCUUUGCACACUCUUGGCAUUCUCUCAACCAGCUUCAUGAAGUAGUCACCUGGAAUGCAUUUCAGUUAACAGGUGUGCCUUGUUAAGAGUUCAAGUAACAGACAAAUAUCAACAUCAACUGUUCAGAGGAAACUGCGUGAAUCAGGCCUUCAUCAAAUCAAAUUUUAUUGGUCACAUACACGUUUAGCAGAUGUUAUUGCGGGUGAAGUGAAAUGCUUGUGUUUCUAGCUCCAACAGUGCAGUAAUAUCUAACUAGUAAUAUCUAACAAUUUCACAACAAUACACACAAUACAUACAAAUCUAAAGGAAUGGAAUUAAGAAUAUAGAAAUAUUUGGAUGAGCAAUGUCAGAGCGGCAUAGACUAAAAUACAGUAGAAUAGAAUACAGUAUAUACACUACCGGUCAAAAAUGUUAUAGCACCUAGUCAUUCCAUUUUUUUCUUUUUAAAAACUAUUUUCUACAUUGUAGUGAAGACAUCAAAACUAUGAAAUAACACAAAUGGAAUAAUGCAGUAACCAAAAAAAAGUGUUAAACAAAUAAUCUGAUGCAGGUCAUCUGAUGCAGCACUCUGGUAAGGGUAAAAUAGCCUGGAGGUGUGUUGGUUAUUGUCAUGUUGAAAAACAAAUGAUAGUCCCACGAAGCCCAAACCAGAUGGGAUGGCGUAUCGCUGCAGAAUGCUGUGGUAGCCAUGCUGGUUAAGUGUGCCUCACAAAGACACGGCGGUUGGAUCCAAAAAUUGGCAAUUUGGACUCCAGACCAAAGGACAAAUUUCCACCGGUCUAAUGUCCAUUGCUCGUGUUUCUUGGCCCAAGCAAGUCUCUUCCUCUUAUUGGUGUCCUUUAGUAGUGGUUUCUUUGCAGCAAUUCGACCAUGAAGGCCUGAUUCACACAGUCUCCUCUGAACAGUUGAUGUUGAGAUGUGUCUGUUACUUGAACUCUGUGAAGCAUUUAUUUGGGCUGCAAUUUCUGAGGCUGGUAGCUCUAAUGAACGUAUCCUCUGCUGCAGAGGUAACUCUGGGUCUUCCAUUCCUGUGGCGGUCCUCAUGAGAGCCAGUUUCAUCAUAGCGCUUGAUGGUUUCUGCGACUGCACUUGAAAAAACUUUCAAAGUUCUUAUUUUCCGUAUUGACUGACCUUCAUGUCUAAAAGUAAUGAUGGGCUGUCAAUCCUCUUUGCUUAUUUGAGCUGUUCUUGCCAUAAUAUGGACUUGGUCUUUUACCAAAUCUUCUGUAUACCCCCCUACCUUGUCACAACACAACUGAUUGGCUCAACCGCAUUAAGAAGAAAAUUAAUUCCACAAAUUAACUUUUAAGAAGGCACACCUGUUAAUUGAAAUUAAUUCCAGGUGACUACCUCAUGAAGCUGGUUGAGAGAAUGCAAAGCCGUCAUCAAGGCAAACGGUGGCUACUUUGAAGAAUCUAAAAUCAAAAAAAUACUUUUUUGGUUACUACAUGAUUCCGUAUGUGUUAUUUCAUAGUUUUGAUAUAUUCACUAUUAUUCUACCAUGUAGAAAAAAGUAAAAAUAAAGAAAAACCCAAUGAAUAGGGGUUCUAAAACAUUUGACCGGGAGUGUACAUAUGAGAUGAGUAAUGCAAAAAUGCGUAAACAUUAUUAAAGUGGCUAGUGUUCCAUUAUUAAAGUGGCCAGUGACUUCAAGUCUAUGUACAGUAUAUAUGGCAGCAGCCUCUAAGGUGCUAGUGAUUUCUAUUUAACAAGCUGAUGGUCUUGAGAUUGAAAAACAGCUUCUGUCUCUCAGUCCCAGCUUUGAUGCAUCUGUACUGACCUCGCCUUCUGGAUGGUAGCAGGGUGAAAAGGCAGUGGCUCGGGUGGUUGGUGUCCUUGAUGAUCUUUUUAGCCUUUCUGUGACAUCGGGUGCUGUUGGUGUCCUGGAAGGCAGGUAGUUUGCCCCCAGUGAUGCGUUGGGCAGACCGCACCACCCUCUGGAGAGCCUUGCAGUUGCGGAUGGUGCAGUUGCCAUACAAGGCGGUGAUACAGCCUGACAAGAUAGUCUCAACUGUGCAUCUGUAAAAUUUUGUGAGGGUUUUAGGUGCCAAGACAAAUUUCUUUAGCCUCCUGAGGUUGAAGAGGCGCUGUUGCGUCUUCUUCACCACACUGUCUGUGUGGGUGCACCAUUUCAGUUUGUCAGUGAUGUGUACCCCUAGGAACUUGAAGCUUUCCACCUUCUCCACUGCGGUCCCGUCGAUGUGCAUAGGUGGGUGCUCUCUCUGCUGUUCCCUUUAGUCCACAAUCUGCUCCUUUGUUUUGUUGAUGUUGAGUGAGUGGUUAUUUUCCUGGCACCACACUCCCAGGGCACUCACCUCUUCCCUGUAGGCCGUCUCAUAAUUGUUGGUAAUCAGGCCUAAUGCUGUUGUGUCGUCUGCAAACUUGAUGAUUGAGUUGGAGCCGUGCGUGGCCAGGCAGUCAUGGUGAACAGGAAGUACAGGAGGGGGCUGAGCACACACCCUUGUGGGGCCCCUGUGUUGAGGAUCAGUGAAGUAAAGGUGUUGUUGCCUACCUUCACCACCUGGGGGCGGCCCGUCAGGAAGUCCAGGACCCAGGGCGGGGUUCAGACCCAGGACCACGAGCUUAAUGAUGAUAUAAAUUAUAUUUUCAUUUGUUUAACACUUUUUUGGUUACUACAUGAUUCCAUAUGUGUUAUUUCAUAGUUUUGUUGUCUUCACUACUUUUCUACAAUGUAGAAAAUAGUAAAAAUGAAUAAAAACCCUUGAACGAGUAGGUGUGUCCAAACUUUUGACUGGUACUGUAUGUUAGUUCCUAGGAACAUAUGGAAACAUGAUCAAGACUCCUGCCAAAUCUCUACGUAUGUAGGUCAAGCAGGCAGCAUUAAUGAUCUCAUUCUGUUUCUGCUUUUAAAACGCACAACUUAUAACACAGGGUAGCCUGAUCCCAUAUGUAAGUGCUUUUAUACAUGUAGACACAUACAGAUCUGGGACCAGUCACAACAGGCAGGGUGAGUCCCAAUGCAAAAACUUCCUUUCCUGUGUCCUAUCUUCUAACUAUGGAGGCAACUACUUCUGACUCGAAAAUCUAUGUUUAUCCAACAAAUAGAUUACUUUGAGGACUGAAAACAUGGGUCAAACUUUGAUUUUGGAAAGAACUACCACUACGUAUUGGGAUUCACCCUAAGUCACCUUUUGUGUCUCCUCUCUCCUGUAUAGCUGGGAGGGUGUGGCCUGUUUGGAGUGGGAGUGUGGCUAUCAUUCACCCAGUCCGAGUUCUCCUCCCUCCCGCUGUCUUUUCCCUCACUCUCUGCAGCAAACCUACUUCUGGUCGCUGGGGGCGUCACCAUGGUGACAGGCUUCCUGGGUUGCCUUGGCGCCCUGAAGGAGCAGCGCUGCCUGCUGAUGACGUUCUUUGUAAUUCUUUUGAUCCUGGUGUUGACAGAGGUGACUCUAACCCUGGUCCUCCAUAUCUUUCACAACGAGCUGGACACGAAAGCUCAGGAUGAGUUAAAGGAGGGGAUGAAGGAUUACUUGACAGACGAAGGACUGAAGAGGUCAUGGGACAAUGUGCAGAAAAUGUUCAAGUGCUGCGGCGUGACCAACAAAACAGAUUGGUACCUCGUGAUCAACGGAACGCUCCCCUUUUCCUGCUGCUCCAGUGGGAUGGACCAAUGUGUUGAAGGAUGGAUCGAGCCGUGUUAUCAGAAGGCCAGACAGUGGCUCCUGGACAACAUCCUCUCUGUCCUGGUGUUUGGAGUCUGCAUUGGCAUUGUCCAGAUCCUGGCUCUGAUUUUCUCCCUGCUGAUGUACUGCCAGAUCCUCCGUGCUGAGAAGUACUUGGACUGAUCUGGGACUGGUCCUUCACAGACAGGAGAGGCUGAAUGAGAGACUCCCUAGCUGGCGCAGAGUUCAUCUAACGUUUCUUUCAAGUUUUGCUUCGGUUAUUUUAAAAAUAACUUCUCCACACCGCGGUGGGAACUAAAAAAAAGUGUUGGCUGGGUCCUGAAUGUUAUAUACCUGCUGCUGGGGAUGGUUUUUCAGAACAUUAGAUCCAGAUCAAAAUCAUCCUUUUUGCAUGUUCAAUUCUGUUUAAGUUUAAUAAAAUAUAUUUGAAUGAGAACACAUCACACAUUUGAAGGGUUAUUUUCCUCUGGAUUGAUGGUUCUUAGAACACUGCACUAAAAACCAUGGUGCACAUUCCAGGUCGUCUUCAUUGCGGUCAUGUUGCUCAGAUCUCACAACGCCUGGCAAAGUGUAAUUCAUUUGGCUUUGAGAGAUCUGAUCAUCUGGAAUACAGCCCUUUACUUAUCAUGUUUACGGAAGGACAUUAUUUGUAACUAUUGGGGACUACGUGCUACUUGUCACUUUCACUAUUAGCCGAUGAUAUUGUUUAGUAGUGAAAAUAUAAAGUGCUAACUCUGAUGUCCAUGAACAAGCAGUGAGAUUUGCCCCAAAGAAACACUUACAGUAUUCUGUUCAACUGCAGCAUAUUUUAAGCAGAAGUCUAAACUAUACGUUUUAAAGUGAGCCUUACCAAAGCAAAUAAAAUGUAAAUACAUUGUAAUUUGUAUGCAUGUGAAGUGGUAGUUGUUUUGUGAACUUGAGCAUUUUGUAAAAUACACACAUGUAUGACUCUGAUUGUGAAUGCGGUAAUAGUUCAAACAACUUGUUUUCCAUAUUGUGCGUAUGAGGUGUUGUCGGUAUGAAUUCACUUCUCUUAUAGUUGAGACGAGCCUAUGCUUUCAUAUACUUAUUCCGUCCAAUAGACAACUGAAGAGGUAAUUGACUUGCAAUAGGGUUCGUCAUUCUAAUGAAAUAUAUAUCACAUAUAAUUAUAAAUGGACUAUGAAAGUAUGCUAUUUAAUUAUGAUCUGCAGUCAUAACACCAAGUAAUGAAACCCAAACCAAACCGAUGACUACACUGUACAGUUCUUUGUAAAACAUGUCUAUAGAAAAACUUUGAUAAAAAAAUUAUUGUAUAAGUACACAUGAUUUUCAGACAAAUACAAUUGUGACAAUUCACGUGUCGUAGUGUUAUAAAAAGAUAAUGCCUUCUCCGUCUCUCAUCACAGGAGAGACUGAGGUCAUAGGAAGGGCCCU